CGCACUUUGCAAAGAAUUCAACGGGUCGCUUUCGUGCGCACAUCGCAUUCUCUGUGUGUUCCUGCGUUGAUGGCUCAGCUUCGUUUUGGUGCUUUCAGACAUUCACGUACUAAUCACAGACAUGGGAAGACUAUAAGACGUCAAGAUGAAAGGCUCCUAGCAGCUCUCAGUGUUCCCAACGAAACUGGCAGAAUGGCAGUGGCUGAUUACAAGCUGCCUUUGGUGAACAAAAAAACCGUGACCACAUUAGAAUCCGAGCAGAGCUCCAAUCCUGCAUUCUGACGACACCUUACACAACGGCUCUCUGUUAUGGGGGGCUGGUACUUAAGAAGCUUUACUGCGGGCAUCCUACCCACUAUUUUCAGACUGUUUUGGUGGAAACUUAAGCUAGACUCUAGGCCAGCGGCGGAAAAAGAGCUUCAGGGACAUGCAUGUCUACAGUGUCAUGGAAGAUGCAUCAAAGGAUACUGGACCUGCCGCCAGCUGACAUGCCUUUCUUCCUCCUUAGUUCUGUUAAGAUGUGGGUUCAGUUUUUCUAGACAUGCAAUCCAUAAUACAUGCAGUCUAGUCAAUCAGUGCACGGCAUUACAUGCCAUUCAU
rnacentral:lncRNA from 1 species